GAGCAGAUCAGAUCUCUGUGUGGAGCACAAACAUCUCACUGGAUUAUUACAGUUAUGGCUAAAUCAAUGAUAUUUCCUCCUGACACACGACAGCAAAAGAUAGAAAUAACUGUCUUGUUUGUGCUUAGGUUCGCUCCAGGCCUCUAGCAUCACCGUGGGUCUCCGUCUCCUGAUCUCCAUUUGGGUCUCCACCGGUGCCGCAGAAACUGGUCACGUGACCAAAAUGAGAGGCGGGAGAAGUUCAAAGGAGAGGAAAAUCAAAAACUGAGGAAUGAGCAACACAUAAGUAAUGAACUAAAAGAAACUGGUGGCAGAAAUCAGAACUCUUUCACCGCCAAAGAAAAGUUUAUGAGAAAAGUUGUCAGCCAACGCCAGCAUUUUUAUGAUUUUCACUAAAAUGUCAUGACCUC